GUAGGUGGCAAGCGUUGUCCGGAAUUAUUGGGCGUAAAGCGCGCGCAGGCGGUUCUUUAAGUCUGAUGUGAAAGCCCACGGCUCAACCGUGGAGGGUCAUUGGAAACUGGAGAACUUGAGUACAGAAGAGGAAAGCGGAAUUCCACGUGUAGCGGUGAAAUGCGUAGAGAUGUGGAGGAACACAGUGGCGAAGGCGGCUUUCUGGUCUGUAACUGCGCUGAGGCGCGAAAGCGUGGGGAGCAAACAGGAUUAGAUACCCUGGUAGUCCACGCGUAAACGAUGAUGCUAAGUGUUAGGGGGUUUCCGCCCCCCUUAGUGCUGCAGCUAACGCAUUAAGCACUCCGCCUGGGAUACGGCCGCAAGGCUG
rnacentral:rRNA from 1 species